rnacentral:ncRNA from 1 species
ACAGCGCCAUGUGCCUGUAAAAUAAAACUACUUUACAGAGCUUGACUUUACAGGAUAACGAGGAGAGGGGAGUAUCGAAAAUUCGGCGGAUGCCCCUCCGUGGCCGCAGCCAUGUGACAGAUUUCGCAAAUACGGAGGCAACUCCGGAACAGAGAGGAA